CUAAACUGCCCUGCCUCAGCCAACAGCUAUCUGCAGCUCAUUUCCUGCUUUCUGGCCAUCUUAUCUCUGUCUUCAAGCAUUCCUCAGCUUUCUCUUUCCAGAACAGGAUUAUGAACCGACACCAUACAGAGGUAUUUGUAAGAAAGAAGGUGGAUGCCGGAAUCCUUUCUUCAAACAGAAGCUUACCAGUAAGUGCAGACUAAUACAACAGUGUCUUCUCCUGCCAGACACCAGCAGGACACAGCGGGCAGGACAGGUUCCUCUGGGUCUGCCCGAAGGACUCAAAGUCCAGGGACAAGAGUCGCUUGGUGGCCUCAGGAAGGAGAGAAGGAGGCACUGUUUCGGAUGGGCCGGGGGAAGUGGAGGUGGGAUGCAGGGCUGUGGAGUCCUCCUGGCAGCCUAGGCUGUGUGUGGGGCGUGGCGGGAUGCCAGAGGGUCUGUGUUGAGGCCUAGCCCUGUCUCCUCUACAGUGGAGGAACUGCUUUGGGACUCAGUUUUGUUACUUGUAAAAUGGGGCCACGCUCUGCCCUUCCAGCUUCAUGUUGCUGAAGGGAGGCUCUAAGGAGACGGAAGCUUCCUGUUCCUGUAACAAGAUGCCAUGAGCGAAUCAUACUCUCAGCCUGGCCCCCAGGAGUCUCCUCCCUUCGGGCUUCUGGAGUUCCCUGCUCCACUCUGACCCCCAGGGAGAGUCCCCACGUAUCCUCCCCGCUGUGGAGGGUGCCCUUGCAGUCCUCCCUGAGCUGCCCCAGGAUGACUGGCUCCACAGGGAAUGUCCUCCCACUCUGUAGGAAGUGGAGCAUGGCUGAGAAGAACUCCCUGUGGUCAGGUCACCCCCAUCCCCAGACGCACACAGACACAAACACAUACAUAUCCUGAGGUAUUGAAGAAGAAUUCACCACACCCUGAAGAUUGCUUUCCACAAAGCACUCUCUCCAAGCCCUGAGUCACCCAACUCCUUCACUCUGGACACCCUGCCAGGAACAAGGAUAUUUGUCCUUUCGGCAGACAUGGGUUCAAGUCCCUGCUCCACUGCUAACUAAUGGCAUGGCCUGGGUCAAGCAUUACUUGCUAAUCUCAGUUUUUUCAUAGGUAGAAUAAGGAUAAUAGCAUCAACCUUAUAUGUUGGUUGUGAGGAUCAAGUGAGAUAAUGUGUGUGUGGCAGGAGGAAAGCCAUCGGCGGGGGCGGGUGGGGGUCGAGUGUUCCAUCCCAGUCUCUCCCUUCUCUCUGCUCAUCAGAGAAAAUCCUGACUUGGCCUAUUUGAAUUGUGUGUGUGUGUGUGUGUGUGUGUGUGUGUGUGUGUGUGUGUGUGUGUGCGCGCACGCCUCCCUUAACCCUCUAUGAAAGGUGCUGAUUUAUUGGAAUAGUCCUUAGGCAUAGGCGAUAUAGAACUGGGAGGAGAGAGAGAGAGGGAAGAAGGAUUAGCAGCAAGACUGAGGGAGGAGGGAGGUUUGAGCAGCUGUAAUGGGUGAGGGAAGAGAGUGGGUGGGAGAAAGGAGAUUUGAGAAGCAUCGCUAUGAUCCAUGAAUCUUUGUAGUCAAGUUUAAGAAAUUCAAGUAAACAGAGUUAUUGUGAAAUUAUUAUUUUUUGGUUGCUAUUCUCUCUCUCCUCUCCCACUCUGUCUCUUUUUUUUUUUCUUUGAGAUGGGAUCUUGCUCUGUCGCCUAGGCUGGAGUGACGCAGUGGUGAGAUCAUAGCUCACUGCAGCCAAUUUUUUUUUGUAGCAACAGGGUCUUGUUAUAUUGCCCAGGGUGGUCUCAAACUCCUGGCUUCAAGUGAUCUUCCUGCCUUAGCCUCCCAAAGUGCUGGGAUUACAGGCAUGAGCUACUGCGCCCAGCCUGGUUGCCAUCCUUGAUGAUAACGCAGCUUUGAGACUGGACCAUUUGCAUGACGGCCUUAUAAGUGAUACCCCUAAGUAACAUGCUUAGCACACAGUAGGGACACAGUAGGCACAGUGACUGGUGCUGUAUCCUCUCAAUUUGGAUGACACUUGUGUGCACAUGUACUGUCUCCCAUAUUGGACUGGGUGUUUCCUGAGUGUGGGUUGGAUCACAUCAGCCUGGGAGCGACUUGAAGCCUGGGACUCUAUUUUGUUUCCCUGCCCUCCCACCCCCCGCCAUAUUAGAUGAGAAGCUCCUUGAGGACAGGGAUUCUUCCUGUCCUGCUUUCUUCAUUAGACCUGCAACUCCCAGUGUGGGUGAUGCUCUUCCUCCUUUUGGCUCUGCUCGAGGACUGAGAACAGGAUCCUGCUCACAGACUGUGUCUUAGACCCACCUGCCUUGGCCUCCCAGAGUGCUGGGAUCACAGGCGUGAGCCACCGCACCUGGCCAUGAUAGCUUGGCUUUCAUAUCUCUGCCUGGCAGUGGGUUUGGGAUCUUCAUAAUCCAGUUCAGCUUGCUGCAACUCAAUUAGACUCCAAUACUUAUUGAUUGCCCACUGUGUGCUAGCUAUAGGACUGGGUGCAGGGGAAAUAUGAGGAUUCCCUUUAAGGAAUCCCUCUCCACCAGAGGGACAGGUGUGUGCAAAGCUCUCUUUGUUGCAGAGAGAUUGGAACUACAGCAAAGGUAUGAACAGGUGUCACGGGGACACAGAAGAAAGAGCAGUUACUCUUCCGGAAGGUUGGAGAAGAUUUUGUGAAGGUGGGGAUGUUUGAUUUGAACCUUGAAGAACAAGCAGAGACCCAAGAAGUACAGAAGAGGGGAGGUGGAAAUAGCAUGAACGAGGUGGGGCAUGGUGAGUAGUCUAGUAUGGAGUGGGAAGGAGGAAUAGCAAUGAGCAUUUAUUGAGCACCUACUAAUCACUGGAUUCUGUGCUAGGUGCUCUGCAUAUAUAUUAUCUCACUUAAUCCUCACAGCAAUCUGAGAAGGUAGGUACUGAUGUGGGAACUAACAUUUGGAGAGAACAGAUGGUUGAACCAGGAUUUGAAUCAGGUUUGUUUGACUCCAAACUCCAUGCUCUUUUUUUUUUAAUCAUGCCAGUGGUUUUCCCAGUAUAUUCUACAAAAUUUUUAGGGUUCUGAGGAGGUGCUUUAGGGACACGUAUAAUUUUAGUUUCGUAUUUAAAAUAUAUUAUAAUCAACAGACACUGAAAUGUGUUAUGUAACAAAAAAAAGCUUUCCUUCCAUCUCUGUGCAUAUUUUUGAGUUUCUUGUAAAUGUGUCAUUGAUUAGAAGGACUGCACAGUCUGCUCAGGUCUGUCUAUGUAAAAGCACACACCCAUGCCCACCAGCCUUCAUUACAAGGUCAGUGGGACUUCCAAUCCAAGAGGGUUGACUAAAUGCACAUGGGCUUAUCUUUACCUCUUCCAGAAAUGUCUUUGUAAUAAAUAAUAAACAUAUCAAUGCUUCCAAAGGAGAAUUUGAAUUGGGAGGGGGCACCUGUGGACAAGAGAAAUCCCAACAAAUUUCUGGAGAAGUGGUUCGAUGGGGAAGGAUGACUGAGUAAGCAGGACAGAGGAAGCUGCUGUGUGGAAUGCACAUGGCUGGGUUUGCAGCCAAAGAGGGAGCUGACCCACCAGCAGAGGCACAGAGAAGCUCAGGACUUGGAUGUGCUAGGUGCAAUGGAGGGUGGGAAAGGGAUAUGUGGCUGAAAAGGGGGAGCUUAAUUGGAAGUCUAAAAAUGGAACAGUUAAAUCCCUGACUCUUAUAUGCAAACUGUUCAGCCAGCAGAUGUUUGCUUUGUCCCCCAUUUUGCUCCUUCCCCUAAUUUCUUCUUUAAAGAAAUUAAAUUGCCUGAGGAAGACUAGGAUAGCUGGGUUUUAAGGUGGCAUCUGAGAACAAAGCACAUUGCAGGCUGACAUUUAGAAAUCUCAAGGCAUAAAGAUCAGUUUACGUGGAAACAAAGCCUGCCAUUCAUCUCCUCUUAUCCAUGUACACAGAGCUUCCAGGAAAGUUUUCUACUGCUUCAUUCUUAAAUAUGAAUGGACAACCAUAAGCCAGAAGCUAUUUGAGGAAGCCUGAAAUAUGAAAUAGAGAGACUAAGAUAAGCAAAGUGAAAAUAAGACCUCUGAGGAAACAAAGACAAUUCAUACGUAGAAUAGAACUUAAAAAAAGAAUUCAAGAAGACACUGAAUCUAUAAAACAUGAGUAGUGAUAUGAAAAGAGAAACAAUUAGAGAACACAAAAGCCCCAGACAUAGAAAAAUGUAAUUAAAAUUCAUUGGAAAUGUUGAAAGUUAAGGUCAAGGUAAUCUCUCAGAAAAUAAAGCAAAAGGUUAAAGAAACAGAAUUUUAUUAGAUAAUAUAUGAGACAUAAAAAAUUAAUACAGGAGGUCCAUGUUUGAUUUAUAAAGAUUUCAGAGAGAAGGGAGAAAUCAAGGGAGAGAAUUUUCAAAUAAAUGACUGAACAGAAUUUUUUAGACAAAACACUCCAGUCUUCAGAAUAACAGGAUUCAUCAGGCAAGCCCCCAGCAAAAAAAAAAAAACACACAAGAUUUAGAAAUUUCAGAAUACUUGGGAAAAUAAGAAGAUGCUAAAAGUUUCCAGAGAGAAAAAAAUCACCUAUAAAGGAAUGAAAAUCGGAAAGUCACCAGACUUCUCACUAGCAGCAUUGGAUGACAAAAGACAAUGAUGCAAUCUCUUCCAAGUUCUGAGAGAGAGAUUUUCAACUUAGAAUUCAAUACCUAGCUAAACUGUCUACUGGUUAAGAGGGCAAAUCAAAGACACUUUAAGAUACAUGAGGACUGAGGAAGUUUACUUCCUAUAGACUCCUUGUGGUAAUGCUCCUAGAAAAAAAGACAGCAAUAGAGGAUGUGCAGCAGUAAAACAAAGGAGAAACCAAGAAUGAGAAAAGCAUGGAAUUUUUGUCAGCUUAUAAGUUAGCUUGCAAAUUCACUUUCAAUUGAUACAAUCUUUCACGUCAGAGCUGCUUCUUGUAACACAGAAGUUUUCAGAUUCUAUGAAAAGGUAUUGAAUGAAUUGAAGGCUCUGUUAAGGGGGCAACUAUCUCCCCUCCCCAUUCUCCUAUCAGCCCAUAAAACAGGAACUGACAACCUCUUGGAAGAAUUGGGAAGGAACUUUUCGAUUUUCUCUGUACAAUCUUCACUGGUUCCUCUCUGUGAGAGGAGGAGGGACCUCUUGGAUUGGUGUCGUUGGGAAAAGGGUAUCAAGUGUGCAUGGCUCAGCCUGUUCCUGGCUCUCUCUCUGGGACUGACCUGACUGCAAGCAGCAUGUUCUCUGUCUGCUCCUGCCUCCUCCAGGCAAUGAGCACCAGGGCGGGUCCAGCCCUUGCUUGGGAGGACUUCAAUAGUCCAGCUGCUCUGCCGCGAGUGGGUGAGUGAGUUCAAGUCAGAGGAGAAGACACAGAAAGCUCAUUUGGGCCUUGGGUCUUAGCCACAUCCUCCAGUCCAUCUGGACUAGCAAUAAAGCUGACAUUUUAAUCCCUACUUGUCUCCUGUGACUAUUUCUCAAUUGGAUCAGACCUCGGAGAAGUGAGGGAUGUGAUUAACUAGCACCCGCAAACCCCAACAUCUGUUGAAUAUUUAGCCCCAGCGGGAAAAGCCAAAGUUAGAUGAAAACACUGGUUUAAAAUUCUGAUAAUUAUUAGACAAUACUUCUCUAUCCUUGUUUGUAUGUCUUUUGAUCUUACUAUAAAAUGUGUAUCAUGUGGGUUUAAAAAAAUUUUUUUAAAUUUUCUUUUUGAAGGUAAGAGCCUGGAUUGAGAGUGAUAAGGCUCUUCUGAGUCUUGGCUACCACUUACUCACUCUGUCCCUUGACUUCUCUGGGCUUCAAUUUUACCAAUUAUAUAAAAUGAGGAGGUUAGACUAGAUGAUCCAUGAGGGCCAUCCCAAGCUUCGGUGUUCUUUCAUUCAUUUGACCCCUUUUUAUUGAGUAUGUGUUGAGUGUGUGCUGGCAGCUGGCUCUGUGAUGUACAAAACAAACCUGGCCCCUGCCAUUUGGGGUUUAGAGUCUCAUAGAAAAGACAGACAUCAAACACACCACAAAUAAGUGGACAAUUACAAAUAUUUCACUUGUUUAGCCAUUAAAUGUUCCUAAGUGGUCAUUUGGAUUGUGAAGAUUCCUACUUCUUCUCAGUUAUCCACACUCAGGGCAAACCUUGCAGGGUCCAGCAGUCACACACAGUGGUGCCACUACUGCAGCUGUGUCCCAGCCAUCGCUCUCGGGAAGACAACAAAGAGGCUUCCAAAGGGCUGGCCUUUUGGAUUAAAAAAAAAGUUAAGCAUUUUUUAAAAAGUCACAAAUGAGUAACAUGCUUGUUAUAAAAAUUUAAGCAAUAAAGAAAAAAAAAUUGAAAGGAAAAAAUCUUUCUCUUGUCCCCUCCAAGCCCACUUGGAAAAAGAAAUAAUGGGUAGAUGUGUGUCCUUCCAUUAAGCUGCAUAUUUAACUGCAGGCUCUAGGAGGGCAGGGAUGGCGUCUGCCUUACCCACUGCUGUAUCCCUGGUGGGUGCCCAGGAAAUACUUGCUGAUUGAACUAGUGCAUAAGUAGUAAUCACACAUAAAGGCUCAUAGAUAGCUAUUUUUUUAAAGAUUGAAAAGGAAAUCAUGCCACAUAUGUUUUUUUUCUUGCACCUUCCUUGUUUUUUUUUUUUUUUCACUCAAAAAUCUGUCAUGGAAUCCCUCCAUGUAUUGGUUCCUAAUUUACCCAUUCCUCUUGUGCUGGGUUGAAUUGUAUCGCCCUCAAAAGCUACACUGAAGUCCUAAUCCCAGGUCAGGCACUGUGGCUCACACCUGUCAUCCCCAGCACCCUGGGAGGCUGAGGCAGGUGGAUGACCUGAGGUCAGGAGAUCGAGAACAGCCUGGCCGACAUGGUGAAACCCUGUCUCUACUAAAAAUACAAAAAUUAGUUGGGCAUGGUGGUGGGUGCCUAUAAUCCUAGCUACUCAGGAGGCUAAGGCAGGAGAAUCACUUGAACCAGUGAGCUGAGAUCAUGCCACUGCAUUCCAGCCUGGGCGACAGAGUGAGAUCCUGUUUCAAAAAAAAAAAAAAAGAAGUCAUAGGUACCUAAUCCCUGGUACCUAUGAAUGUUACCUUAUUUGGAAAUAGGGUAUUUGCAGACAUGAUCAAGUUAAGAUGAGGCCAUGCUCGAUUAGGGUGGGUCCUAAUCCAAUAUAGCUGGUGCCUUUAUAAAAAGAGACAGAGACUGCAGCCAUAAAAAAGAAUGGGUUUAUGUCUUUUGCAGGGACAUGGAUGAAGCUGGAAGCCAUCAUUCUCAGCAAACUAACACAGGAACAGAAAACCAAACACCGCAUGUUCUCACUCGUAAGUGGGAGUUGAACAAUGAGAACACAUGGACACAGGGAGGGGAACAUCACACACCAGGGCUUGACAGGGGUUGAAGGGCAAGGGGAUUGAGAGCAUUAGGACAAAUACCUAAUGCAUGUGGGGCUUCAAACCUACGUGACAGGUUCAUAGAUGCAGCAAACCACCAUGGCACAUAUAUACCUAUGUAACAAACUUGCACGUUCUGCACAUGUAUCUUAAAGUAAAAAAAAAAAAAAACUUAAAGUAAAAAAAAAAAAAAGAGUGAGCGUGAGACAGAAACAGAGACACAGGGAGGAUGUCACACAAUGACAGAGGAAAGAUUGGUGUGAUGCAGCUGCAAGCCAAGAAGCGCUGAGGGCGGAUAGUCGCCCGUCAGAAUCUAGAAGAGGCAAGGAAGGAGUUUUCCCAGAGCCUUGGAGGGAACAGAACCCUGCCGACACCUUGAUUUGGGACUUCUGGUCUCCAGAUUGCAAGACAAUCCAUUUCUGUUGUUUUAAGCCACUCAGUUUGUGGCAGUUGAUUACAGCAGCCCUAGGAAAUGAAUCCCUGCCUCUUCAGGUGUAUUUAGGUUGCUUCCAGUGUUGAACUAUCAUAACAAUGAAAACUGCUUCCAUGGACUGUUUGGAGAGGGGAGCCCUAGGAGGUUUUUUUUUUUUUUGAGAAAGGGUCUCACUCUGUUGCCCAGGCUGGAAUGCAGUGGCGUAAUCUUGGCUCACUGCAACCUCUGCCUCCUGGGUUCGAGCAAUUCUUGUGCCUUAGCCACCUAAGUAGCUGAGACUAACAGGCGUGUGCCACCAUGCCCAGCUAAUUUUUGUAUGUUUAGUAAAGUUGGGGUUCUGCCAUGUUGGCCAGGCUGGUCUUGAACUCCUGACCUCAAGUGAUCUGCCUGCCUCAGCCUCCCAAAGUGCUGGGAUUACAGGCGUGAGUCACUGUGUCCAGUCCCCCCUUUUUUUUUGAGAUUGGGUCUCACUCUGUUGCCCAGGCUGGGGUGCAGUGGUGUGAUCAUGACUCACUGCAGCCUCAACCUCCCAAACUCAAGGGUUCCUCCUACCUCAGCCUUCUGAGUAACUGGGACUACAGGUGUGUACCACCAUGCCUGGCUAACUUUUUUUUUUUUUUUGUAAAGACAGGGUUUUGCCAUGUUGCCCAGGCUGGUUUCGAACUCCUAGCCUCAAGUGAUCCUCCCACCUUGGCCUUCCAAAGUGCUGGGAUUAUAGGUGUGAGCCACUGUGCCUGGCCCUGAGUUUAUUCUUGUCUCCAGGAAACCCUUGGAAUAAUCAUAGACCCUAGCCUUGGGGCCUUAGCAUCAACUCAUAACCUUGGCAGGAUUGCCAGCUAAAAUAUGGGACACCUGAGUCAUAUUUGGGACAUACUUAUGUUACAAAAGUAUUUGUUUUUUAUUUGAAAUUCCAGUUUAACAGGGCUUCUGUGUUUUUCUUUGGUAAACCUGACAACCCUAAACCUCAAUCUCCGCCAUUGUAAUCCUGAGCAGUUGGGCUGUGAGCAGCCUACACUAUCCCAGAAAGAGCCUGAGGGUCAUGGUUUUCUGCCUGGUGACUGUAGGAGCACUGGAAGAUCUCCCCUCGUCCUGGAUCUCUGACUGUCUUUUAGCAUCCUGAGUGUUCUCAGUGGGACCUGGAUGUCCUGUGGCACCUGCCUCCCCCAACAGUGCCCAGCUAAGCUUCUCUUCUGCCCAUCUCAGCAGCAAAGUGCUCAUUCGCUCCACCCCACCUUUGCCUUGGCAGUGCCUGUCCAUCUCCCUCCAGCCUGCUCUCCCCCUACCUACUCACCCCUACUGGGCUUAGGCAAGACACAUGUGGGCCUGGCCCGCAGGGGUCCACAGGGCAGAACUAACUCAUCAGCUCUAGGUGUGCUGAGUGGAACUGGAGAGGGAAGGGUGCCAUGUGAGCUUGUGAAGACGGUGGGCAGUGCCUCCCAAACUUGCCCUAUUGUAAAAAUUGCCUAAGGGCUGGUUGGAAAUGCUAUUCCUGGUUGGAAUCAGAGAUCUCCUGGGAGGGGAAUCACAGUAGCUCAGGGACCUGGCCGAGACUGGAGGCUUGGGGGUGGCCCCCUGCAAGGAAGCGCUGUCCAAGCAGAGGUCUGAAGGCUCAGUAGGAGUCAGGCAGGUGAGGCUUUGGGGGGCAGGGUGGGGAUCCAGGAGAGGAAAGAGCAUAGCAAAUGCCUUGAUGGGAGAAGAAGAGCCUGGCCUGUCUGAGGCCAGAGAAGAGGCCACUGUGGUUAGCGUGUGGAGAGCGAACAGAAAGGCGAGUUGAGCUUGGAGAAAGCAGGCGGAGCCACAUCUGGCCAGGCCUUGUUGGGCUGGUUAAGAAUUCAGCCUAAAGCAAUGGUAAUGGCCUGGGGCAGGCACCAACUGAACCUUUUUCAAAG
rnacentral:lncRNA from 1 species